CCGCAGCCCCCAUCCAGCCCUUCCCCGGGACGGCAGCCCUUCUCGGCCAGGGUGGACGAGGACCCUCCCAAGGGAGGCCGGAGAGCUGCCCCCGCCCCAGAGCACAGGCCCACAGAAGCCCCGUGCCCCUCCUGUGCGCUCUGGGGCACCCCGGGCAGGGCUGUCAGCCGAGGGCUCCCCGCCCCCUCCGCAGCCAACAGGGGGUCAGAGCCUGGGGGUGAGGGACACAGACUCAGGGGGCAGGGCGGGGCUGCGGCCCAGGGCGGGCGAGAGUAAAGGAGAGCAGCAGAAGGCUGGCCAAGAGAUCCCCAGACGCCGCUCUGCCCCUGCCACCAGCCCUGGGAGACCCCUAGCCACGGUGUUCGGAUGUGACGUGUACCCCGGCUUCCGCCUCGGAUUGGGGGUGGCUGAGAGCCUCACUGAGGGAGGCCGGAUCCGGGGCAGCAGAAGGAAGGAGCCGAGGCUCAGCCAGAGGCUCAGGGAGGUGAGGACCUUGGUCUGCGAGGACGACAUCAGGUCAUCUGAGGAAGCACAUCUGCUCAGCUGACACACUUCCAGGAGCCAAGAUCCCUAGGACACAGGCCGCCCUGGACAACAGAGCCCUGUGAAGCCGAGAGCGUCCCUAAGAGGAGGCCCGUAAGUCACCUCUGUCAGAGCCGCCAAGGGUGUGUUUCUCACCUAAGGCUGCUCACACUCCCUCUCCCCCCAGGCCCGUGGGUCCCCAUUGGUCGCCUCCUGCCCACGCUCCUGUCGG
rnacentral:lncRNA from 1 species